rnacentral:tRNA from 1 species
GCGGAAUUGGCGGAAUUGGUAGACGCGCUAGGUUCAGGUCCUAGUGCCCGUUUGGGCAUCCGGGUUCGAGUCCCGGAUUCCGCA